AGCGAACGCUGGCGGCAGGCCUAACACAUGCAAGUCGAACGGAUCCUUCGGGAUUAGUGGCGGACGGGUGAGUAACACGUGGGAACGUGCCUUUUGGUUCGGAACAACUCAGGGAAACUUGAGCUAAUACCGAAUGUGCCCUCCGGGGGAAAGAUUUAUCGCCAUUAGAGCGGCCCGCGUCUGAUUAGCUAGUUGGUGAGGUAAAGGCUCACCAAGGCUACGAUCAGUAGCUGGUCUGAGAGGAUGAUCAGCCACAUUGGGACUGAGACACGGCCCAAACUCCUACUGGAGGCAGCAGUGGGGAAUCUUGCGCAAUGGGCGAAAGCCUGACGCAGCCAUGCCGCGUGAAUGAUGAAGUCUUAGG
rnacentral:rRNA from 1 species